UACAGAGGUCCCAAGCGUUGUUCGGAUUCACUGGGCGUAAAGGGUGCGUAGACGGUAGCGUAAGUCAGAUGUGAAAGCCCCGGGCUCAACCUGGGAAUUGCAUUUGAGACUGCUCUGCUCGGGUGCGGAAGAGGGAAGCGGAAUUUCCGGUGUAGCGGUGAAAUGCGUAGAUAUCUGGAGGAACACCGGUGGCGAAGGCGGCGUCCUGGACCAACACUGACACUGAUGAGCGAAAGCCAGGGGAGCAAACGGG
rnacentral:rRNA from 1 species